rnacentral:rRNA from 1 species
ACGAACGCUGGCGGCGUGCUUAACACAUGCAAGUCGAGCGGAAAGGCCUUUCGGGGUACUCGAGCGGCGAACGGGUGAGUAACACGUGAGUUAUCUGCCCAUCGCUUCAGGAUAGCCAUCGGAAACGGUGAUUAAUACUGGUUAUGACAUUCCUUCGCAUGUUGGGGUGUGGAAAGUUUUUUCGGCGGUGGAUGUGCUCGCGGCCUAUCAGCUUGUUGGUGGGGUAAUGGCCUACCAAGGCUUUGACGGGUAGCCGGCCUGAGAGGGUGACCGGCCACACUGGGAAUGAGACACGGCCCAGACUCCGACGGGAGGCAGCAGUGGGGAAUAUUGGACAAUGGGCGGAAGCCUGAUCCAGCAACGCCGCGUGAGGGAUGACGGCCUUCGGGUUGUAAACCUCUUUCAGCACAGACGAAGUUUUGCUUGUUUGGGUGAAGUGACGGUAUGUGCAGAAGAAGGACCGGCCAACUACGU